UCAACGAGCAAAGCAGGAGUUCAUUUCUGUAUUCUUCUACCCCCACCCUCCCCCGUGUCGCACCUGCAUCAAUGGACCCACCUGUGCGUUAUGAUGAGCGUGUUCCUUCCACUGUUCCACCUGUGCCAAAACGUGGAAGUGUGCUGUGGUUUCAUCGGUUACCGCCUGGAUGUGACACUGAAAUAAUGUGAACUCCAUCAGCGUAAUGAGGUGGACCGACCUUCUUCGAACACCCCCCCCCCCCUACAAUGUCGCCUCGGUGAACGCUGGUGCGGGUUUCGUCUGCUUGUUUUUCCCCGCUCUCACCUUAGCCAGCAAAUGUCCCCGUAAUAAAUAUUUUCAUACUUAUGGUAGUUAUUUUGUAAUACCUUCAAUGUGUGGUAUUUCGCGUUUUCGGAGCUCAUAAGAAAAAGGGGAAAAA